GGCGCACGGGUGAGUAACACGUAAGUAACCUACCUUUAGAUUUGGAAUAACCCCGAGAAAUCGGGGCUAAUACUGAAUGAUGCAGCGGCACCACAAGGUGAUGUUGUUAAAGUCUAUAUGACGUCUAAAGAUGGGCUUGCGUCUGAUUAGCUAGUUGGUGAGGUAACGGCCCACCAAGGCUACGAUCAGUAGCUGGUCUGAGAGGAUGAUCAGCCACACUGGAACUGAGACACGGUCCAGACUCCUACGGGAGGCAGCAGUGAGGAAUAUUGGGCAAUGCCCGAAAGGGUGACCCAGCAACGCCGCGUGGAGGAUGAAUGCCGUAAGGUUGUAAACUCCUGUUAGAGGGGAAGAAAAAUCUCGAUCAAAUCGAGAACUGACUGUACCCUCAGAGAAAGCCCCGGCUAACUACGUGCCAGCAGCCGCGGUAAUACGUACGGGGCAAGCGUUGUCCGGAUUUACUGGAUGUAAAGGGCGCGCAGGCGGGUUGACAA
rnacentral:rRNA from 1 species